rnacentral:rRNA from 1 species
AACCUCCGCAAUGUGAGAAAUCGCGACGGGGGGAUCCCAAGUGCCAUUCUUAACGGGAUGGCUUUUCAUUAGUGUAAAGAGUCGUUUAGAAUAAGGGCUGGGCAAGACCGGUGCCAGCCGCCGCGGUAACACCGGCAGCUCUAGUGGUAGCAGUUUUUAUUGGGCCUAAAGCGUCCGUAGCCGGUUUAAUAAGUCUCUGGUGAAAUCCUGUAGCUUAACUGUGGGAAUUGCUGGAGAUACUAUUAGACUUGAGACCGGGAGAGGUUAGAGGUACUCCCAGGGUAGAGGUGAAAUUCUGUAAUCCUGGGAGGACCGCCUGUUGCGAAGGCGUCUAACUGGAACGGUUCUGACGGUGAGGGACGAAAGUUAGGGGCGCGAACCGGAUUAGAUACCCGGGUAGUCCUAACCGUAAACGAUGCGGACUUGGUGUUGGGUGGCUUUGAGCUGCUCCAGUGCCGAAGGGAAGCUGUUAAGUCCGCCGCCUGGGAAGUACGGUCGCAAGACUGAAACUUAAAGGAAUU